CCUACGGGGGGCAGCAGUGGGGAAUAUUGCACAAUGGGGGAAACCCUGAUGCAGCAACGCCGCGUGAAGGACGAAGGUUUUCGGAUUGUAAACUUCUGUUCUUAGUGAAGAAUAUUGCCGGUAGCUACGGAGCAUGCCACGGCUAACUACGUGCCAGCAGCCGCGGUAAUACGGAGGUGGCAAGCGUUGUCCGGAAUUACUGGGCGUAAAGGGAACGCAGGCGGGAAGCCAAGUCAGCUGUGAAAGCUACGGGCUUAACUUGUAGACUGCAGUUGAAACUGGUUUUCUUGAGUGAAGUAGAGGUUGGCGGAAUUCCGAGUGUAGCGGUGAAAUGCGUAGAUAUUCGGAGGAACACCGGUGGCGAAGGCGGCCAUCUGGGCUUUAACUGACGCUGAGGCUCGAAAGUGUGGGGAGCAAACAGGAUUAGAUACCCUGGUAGUC
rnacentral:rRNA from 1 species